rnacentral:rRNA from 1 species
GACAGAGGUUGCAAACGUUGUUCGGAAUUACUGGGCAUAAAGCGCACGUAGGUGGUCCGCUAAGUCGGAUGUGAAAUUCCCCGGCUCAACCGGGGAACGGCAAUCGAUACUGGCGGGCUUGAGGUCCGGAGGGGUGAGUGGAACUCCUGGUGGAGCGGUGAAAUGCGUAGAUAUCAGGAGGAACACCAGUGGCGAAGGCGACUACCUGGCCUGUUCUUGACGCUGAGGCGCGAAAGCUAGGGGAGCAAACGGG